rnacentral:rRNA from 1 species
GACGAACGCUGGCGGCGUGCUUAACACAUGCAAGUCGAGCGGUAAGGCCCUUUCGGGGGUACGACGAGCGGCGAACGGGUGAGUAACACGUGGGUGACCUGCCCUCAGCUCUGGGAUAAGCCUGGGAAACCGGGUCUAAUACCGGAUAUGACUCCAUGACGCAUGUUGUGGGGUGGAAAGCCUUGUGCGGCUGAGGAUGGGCCCGCGGCCUAUCAGCUUGUUGGUGGGGUGAUGGCCUACCAAGGCGACGACGGGUAGCCGGCCUGAGAGGGCGACCGGCCACACUGGGACUGAGAUA